UGCGAACAGAAAGCAAGAAAUAAGCAAGAAAUAAGCAAGAAAGUGAUUGAAAGUUUCGCUGGCAUCUUGUGUACACACCUUCCUCCUACUUAUCUUUCUUCUUUG
rnacentral:ribozyme from 1 species